rnacentral:rRNA from 1 species
GGCUCAGAUUGAACGCUGGCGGCAUGCCUUACACAUGCAAGUCGAACGGCAGCGGGGACUUCGGUCCGCCGGCGAGUGGCGAACGGGUGAGUAAGGUAUCGGAACGUACCUUUCAGUGGGGGAUAACUGUCCGAAAGGACAGCUAAUACCGCAUAUUCUGUGAGCAGGAAAGCAGGGGAUCGCAAGACCUUGCGCUGAUUGAGCGGCCGAUAUCAGAUUAGCUAGUUGGUGAGGUAAAGGCUCACCAAGGCGACGAUCUGUAGCGGGUCUGAGAGGAUGAUCCGCCACACUGGAACUGAGACACGGUCCAGACUCCUACGGGAGGCAGCAGUGGGGAAUUUUGGACAAUGGGGGCAACCCUGAUCCAGCCAUGCCGCGUGAGUGAAGAAGGCCUUCGGGUUGUAAAGCUCUUUCGGCCGGGAAGAAAUCGUAUGGGCUAAUACCCUGUGCGGAUGACGGUACCGGCAUAAGAAGCACCGGCUAACUACGUG